GAUGAACGCUAGCUACAGGCUUAACACAUGCAAGUCGAGGGACCGGCGCACGGGUGAGUAACACGUGUCCAACCUGCCCUUUAAUCGGGGAUAGCCUUUCGCAAGAAAGAUUAAUACCCGAUGUAAAGGAUGGGGAUGGGUUCCAUUAGGUGGUUGGUGAUGUAACGGCACACCAAGCCUUCGAUUGAUAGGGGUUCUGAGAGGAAGGUCCCCCACAUUUGAGCUGAGACCCAGUCCCAACUCCUACGGGAGGCAGGAGUGUGGAAUACUGGGCAAUGGGCGUUAGCCUGGACCUGCCAAGUAGCGUGAAGAAUGAAUGCUUAUGAGUCGUAAACUUCUUUUAUAGAAGAAUAUGUAUUAUAUGAAUAAGGAUCGGCUAACUCCGUGCCAGCAGCCGCGGUAAUAC
rnacentral:rRNA from 1 species